UACGUAGGUUGCAAGCGUUGUCCGGAUUUACUGGGCGUAAAGAGCGCGCAGGCGGUCGUUUAAGUCGAGUGUGAAAGCCCCCGGCUCAACUGGGGAGGGUCACUCGAUACUGAUCGACUCGAAGGCAGAAGAGGGAAGCGGAAUUCCCGGUGUAGUGGUGAAAUGCGUAGAUAUCGGGAGGAACACCAGUGGCGAAGGCGGCUUUCUGGUCUGCCACUGACGCUGAGGCGCGAAAGCUAGGGUAGCAAACGGG
rnacentral:rRNA from 1 species